rnacentral:tRNA from 1 species
GCCGGUGUAGCUCAGGGGUAGAGCAACUGUUUUGUAAACAGUAGGUCGUUGGUUCGAAUCCUACCGCCGGCUCCA